rnacentral:ncRNA from 2 species
CCCUCACGUCAGGGGAGUCCCGCCUAGGGGACUGAGAGGCUGACAGGGACCGCCCAUGGGCGGUUCCGGUGAAGCGACCCUUUGAACCUGACCCAGUUGAUGCUGGCGUAGGAAGACCGAAGGGCAGCUUU